AGUGAACGCUGGCGGUAGGCCUAACACAUGCGAGUCGAACGGCAGCACAGUAAGAGCUUGCUCUUACGGGUGGCGAGUGGCGGACGGGUGAGGAAUACAUCGGAAUCUACUUUUUCGUGGGGGAUAACGUAGGGAAACUUACGCUAAUACCGCAUACGACCUACGGGUGAAAGCAGGGGAUCUUCGGACCUUGCGCGAUUGAAUGAGCCGAUGUCGGAUUAGCUUGUUGGCGGGGUAAGGGCCCACCAAGGCCACGAUUCGUAGCCGGUCUGAGAGGAUGGUUCGCCAACACGGAACCGAGAAACGGUCCCGAAUACCAAGGGAGGCAGCAGGUGGGAAUUUUUGGAAAUGGGGGGAAGCCUGAUCCAGCCAUACCGCGUGGGUGAAGAAGGCCUUCGGGUUGUAAAGCCCUUUUGUUGGGAAAGAAAAGCAGCAGGUUAAUACCCCGCUGUUCUGACGGUACCCAAAGAAUAAGCACCGGCUAACUACGUG
rnacentral:rRNA from 1 species